rnacentral:tRNA from 1 species
GGCAAUGUAGCUCCAAUGGUAGAGCAGGGUUUUCCUAAGACUCAGGUUAGGUGUUCGAGUCACCUUUUUGCC